GGCAAUGGGCCGCACGAGGUGAGGCCCAAACAUCGCGAAGAUGGUGCAGGGGCGGGGUGGCGAGGACGUACCCGAGACUAGAGAGAUGCAAAGGGAGCUUCCGCCAGGGCGGAGAGAAAUGAUUACAAAUUUUCGGAGAUUGUCUCAGGAUGCAUUCGCGAAUACAUCUUUGGAAGUUGCGUCUUCUACGUGCCCCCUCGCCCCCUCCAGGUUGGCUUUAUUUACCCUUGGCUGCUGGAGCCUUCACACUUUCUGGAAAUAAAUGGAGUGUGGCCUAUUCUGACUACUUGCCAUAGGAUGUUUGCUGAAUAAAUGACCAUUUACUGGUGGGAAGGGUCAGAUAAUCUCUCUAUGAGCCAAACCAAGGAACCUGAGUUUAACAGUCUGGCGGAGAAGGAGCAUCCUUUGAGGCAACCGCAAUGAAAAGCAAGUCAAAGAUACAGUUCUAACAUGGAGUUGGAAUUGGUUCUUCUCUGCAACACAACUCUCAGGCAAAUAAAUAAUAAAUAGGAAGAAAUA